rnacentral:rRNA from 1 species
UAGGGAAUCUUCCACAAUGGGCGCAAGCCUGAUGGAGCAACGCCGCGUGAGUGAAGAAGGUCUUCGGAUCGUAAAACUCUGUUGUUAGAGAAGAACAUGCAGGAGAGUAACUGUUCUUGUAUUGACGGUAUCUAACCAGAAAGCCACGGCUAACUACGUGCUAG